rnacentral:rRNA from 1 species
UACGGAGGGUGCAAGCGUUAUCCGGAUUCACUGGGUUUAAAGGGUGCGUAGGCGGGCAUUUAAGUCAGUGGUGAAAUACCUGAGCUUAACUUGGGAACUGCCAUUGAUACUGCGGAGCUUGAGUACAGAUGAGGUAGGCGGAAUUGACGGUGGAGCGGUGAAAUGCGUAGAUAUCGUCUGGAACGCCAAAGGUGAAAACAGACUGCUGGGAGUGUGCUGACGCUGAGACACGAAAGCCAGGGGAGCAAACGGG